UCACUCAACGUCCCGCCACCACCGCCCUUCCCCCUUCUGUUUCCUCUCGUCGCUUCUGAAUUCAUCUCCGCUUUAUUUUGUACCACGUCGCUCCUCCACGCGUUUUUCGCACCAGAACUCACAAGAGCCGCGUCAACGUGGGCGACGUUACUUGUAACCCAGGUGUUUCGUCGACGGCUGGCAUAGACUUGGAGAUCAACGGCGUCAUCAUUUUGGGAUUCCGCACACUGACACAGCAGCGAUGGUGGUCCCAGUGCAACGCACCUCCGUCUACGUCGGCGACUUGCCGAUCGACCUGCCUCGCCCAGAAGAGGCGAUUAACAACCUCUUUAGUACUGUUGCACCCGUGGUCUCCGUGAAGGUGUGCCGCGACAUGGCAACGCAGCGCUCCUUAGGCUAUGGCUACGUCAACUUCCAGACCACUGCCGAUGCAGAAAAGGUGAUUGACGCGCUCAACUACACAGGCAUCGCACCAGGGCGCCAAAUCCGCGUCAUGUUCUCUAUCCGCGACCCGCUCCAGCGCAAGAGCGGCAUGAACAAUGUGUUUGUCAAGAAGCUGGAUACUGCUAUUAAUGCCAAGGAGCUGCAGGCUGCCUUUACCAAGUGCGGCCGCGUGCUCUCGUGCAAGGUGGCGCUUGACUCGGCAGGCAACUCGAAGGGCUACGGCUUUGUGCAGUUCGAGACAGCCGAAGGCGCCAAGGCGGCGCUCGACAUGAACGGUAGUAAGUUGGGGGAUAGCGAGGUGGUGGUGGCACCCUUUGUCCGUCGCGUCGACCGCGAGGUGAUGGCCGCCAAAUCCUUUCGGAACAUCUACAUCAAGAACAUCGCGGCCGCCGCCACGGAGGCGGACGUGAAGGCGGCCGCGGAAAAAUUUGGCAAGGUAAAUUCCUUGUUUCUCUCCGAGCACGCGCCGUUCCCUACCAAAUUCGCCCUGGUCGCGUUCGAGGAGCACGAGGCCGCCGUCCAGGCCAUCGCGGCGCUGAACGAGUCGGAAGAGAGCGGCCUGACAGAGAAGGCGGCGAAACUCGUUGUGUGCCGCGCGCUUUCCAAGAGCGAGCGUGACCGCGAGAAGAAGAAGGCCGCGUCCCUCUACCAGAACCACGGCCGCAACCUCUACGUAAAACACCUGCCUGACGAUAUCACCGACGACAGGCUGCGCGAGAUCUUCGAGCCGUUUGGCAAGAUCACAUCGUGUGCCAUCAUGAAGGAGCCGAAUGGCACCUUCAAGGGGUUCGCCUUUGUCUGCUUCGAGGACAAGCAGCACGCCUCCGCUGCGUUGCGGAGCCUGAAUGGGCAGCCUCUAGAGCACUCAAAGAAGCCUCUUUAUGUGAGCCACGCGGAGCAGAAAGACAUGCGCAUCCGCCUGCUUCAGCAGCGUCGUGCGGCCAUGCGCCACCAGUCCCGUAUGGUGCCCCCGAUGAACACGUUCCCGCAGCAGUGGCCGCGGCACCCGUUCCCGCACAUGGUGCCGCCCAUGAUGCCGCCACCGCCGCCACCGAACAUGGGGAUGCCACAGUUCAUGUCUGGCCCAAUGAUACGUCGCCCCGCCAUGGAGCCACACCUCAUGCAAGGCGAACCGAUGCGUCCGCCGAACCGCUACACACAGCCACGCGAGCAGUAUCCACCGCAGCAGCGCCAGGACGGCGUCGACAUGAACUACCUCAGCACCCUUUCCCCAGAGCAGCAAAAGAACUAUCUUGGCGAGCUUCUCUACAGCCGCAUCCUGCCGUUGGAGUCGUCCAACGCGGCGAAGAUUACGGGUAUGCUGCUUGAGAUGAGCCGCGAGGAGAUUUUCGAGAUCCUGGCGGACCACUUCGCCCUUCUCUCCAAGAUUCAGGAGGCAAACGCGGUGCUUCAGCAGCACACUGGCAACUAGUGCGGGGACAUGGUAGUGUCCCAGUCCUCAGGCACAAUCGGGCUGGCCUUCCUAUCUUCUUCCCCUCCCCUUCUCACGCCUCCCCCAUGUGCUGACGGAGUAGGCUGCUGCCGCACCUCGAGUAGGUCGCGACAGCACCACCACCUCUCUAUCGACUCGACUGCGAUGGGGGAGCUGUGAUAUGCGGUGGUUCGCACGUGACGGAGGUGUGACGCUGUGCCACUGUGUUGCUGUUGUAGUGGCUGGAUUUUCUUUUUGUUGUUUGAAGGGGGUGGGAGCGAUGUGAUGUUGUCGGAUAGCAUGAAGCACUGGCGUGGCUAGGAGGGGAGUGGGGCACUGGAGCCCACGGUGACGUAACUAAGCGAUGAAAGAAAACCGUUUCCUGAGGAAAGUAAAACACCAA
rnacentral:misc_RNA from 1 species